rnacentral:tRNA from 1 species
ACUUUCAAAGGAUAAUAGAUCAAUCCAUUAGCCUUAGGAGCUAAAAAUCUUGGUGCAACUCCAAGUGAAAGUA